AAACUAGAGUGAAGCGCAAAGAAACGGAACCCUCGAUUCAGAUCUAUCUUCGCCCUCUAGAAUUUCUACUCGAUCUCCUCAAAGUCGGAUCUCCACAAUUCUCUCCAGUGAGGAAAUGUCACAUCAAAGAGGAAGAGUACAAAUAGUGUCUCCAGAAGAUGAGUUGAACAAUCUACAACAACUCUUAGACAUACAACCUGCUGCAACUACUACUCCUAGUAGUUCUGAUCCUUCUGAUUCUUCAGAUCCUUCUGUUGCUGGUUCAUCUUCUAGCAAAAAGAGGACACGUGGCCCAACACGUAACUUAGAUUUACUUAGUAUGAAACCCGGGGAAAAAAAAAACUACAUGAUUCAAUACGAGAGGGCAAGUUGUUUAUGAUGGAAAAGGGGAAAGAUUAUCAAGCUAUAUGGGAACAUUGGUGCGAUCUCAACACAAUGUACCCAUCCAAGUUCAAGAUUGGAAUCAUGUUAGUGAAGAUGUGAAGGAAAGAUUUGGGCCUUAGUAUUGGAAAAAUAUGAACUAGAAGAAACAUAUAAGA